UACGGAGGAUCCGAGCGUUAUCCGGAUUUAUUGGGUUUAAAGGGUGCGCAGGCGGGAGAUUAAGUCGGCGGUGAAAUUUUGCAGCUCAACUGUAAAAGUGCCUUCGAUACUGGUUUCCUUGAGUGUGGAUGAAGUAGGCGGAAUUUGUGGUGUAGCGGUGAAAUGCUUAGAUAUCACGAGGAACUCCGAUUGCGCAGGCAGCUUACUAAACCACUACUGACGCUCAGGCACGAAGGCGUGGGGAUCAAACAGGAUUAGAUACCCCGGUAGUCCCU
rnacentral:rRNA from 1 species